CUCUCGUUUCGUUUCGAUUCGUUUGCUUUCGUUUUGGUCAGGCGACGUCCUUGUAACGCUUGUAUCUGAACGGCUGAGCGUCGCAGCUACCUUGGCACGCUCGCAACCGAAGGACUAAACUGCCAAACUGCCAUACUGCCAAACUGGGAAAGUGCGAAAUGGCGAAAUGGCGAAAUGGCAAGAUUGCGAAACUGCGAAACUGGGAAGCUGCGAAAUUGGCAAACUGCGCGACGGAGGCUGAAACUGAAACUAAGAAACCGAAGCUGGCACCGAAAUUGAAGAGGAUGCUGCCCCGACGUGCGACGCGAUGCGAUUGGAUGCUCAACUUGCCCAACUGUCAGAUGCGGCGACGAUAACAAGUCUGAUUCUGACUCGAGAGCAGCAGCACUCACCCAACCACCCAGCAGCCACCACUCCUUCAACCUGUCCUGCUAAUGCACUCGACGGCAUCCCGCCAGGCGGAGGGUUUGGGUAUCAAUCAGCCAGGGAGCAAGCUAUGCGAGCAGCAAAUAAUCUCUUUAAUUAAUCAUCCGAAAAUGUAACCCGUUUUGAAUCAUUCUCGCUCAAUGAGAAAGGCCUUAGUAAUAAAUCUUUACUUGAU
ensembl:ncRNA lncRNA:CR44828 long non-coding RNA:CR44828